rnacentral:rRNA from 1 species
AUUGAACGCUGGCGGCAGGCCUGACACAUGCAAGUCGAGCGGCAGCACGGGUACUUGUACCUGGUGGCGAGCGGCGGACGGGUGAGUAAUGCCUAGGAAUCUGCCUGGUAGUGGGGGAUAACGUCCGGAAACGGGCGCUAAUACCGCAUACGUCCUACGGGAGAAAGUGGGGGAUCUUCGGACCUCACGCUAUUAGAUGAGCCUAGGUCGGAUAGCUAGUUGGUGAGGUAAUGGCUCACCAAGGCGACGAUCCGUAACUGGUCUGAGAGGAUGAUCAGUCACACUGGAACUGAGACACGGUCCAGACUCCUACGGGAGGCAGCAGUGGGGAAUAUUGGACAAUGGGCGAAAGCCUGAUCCAGCCAUGCCGCGUGUGUGAAGAAGGUCUUCGGAUUGUAAAGCACUUUAAGUUGGGAGGAAGGGCAGUUACCUAAUACGUGAUUGUUUUGACGUUACCGACAGAAUAAGCACCGGCUAACUCUGUGCCAGCAGCCGCCGUAA